rnacentral:rRNA from 1 species
UAGGGAAUAUUGGACAAUGGGUGCGAGCCUGAUCCAGCCAUGCCGCGUGCAGGAAGAAGGCCUUCUGGGUUGUAAACUGCUUUUAUCUGGGGAUAAAAUACCCGUGCGCGGGUCAUUGAAGGUACCAGAGGAAUAAGCCACGGCUAACUACGUGCCAGCAGCCGCGGUAAUACGUAGGUGGCAAGCGUUGUCCGGAUUUAUUGGGUUUAAAGGGUGCGUAGGCGGUCUGUUAAGUCAGUGGUGAAAUACGGCAGCUUAACUGUCGAGGUGCCAUUGAUACUGGCGGACUUGAGUACUGAUGAGGUAGGCGGAAUGGACGGUGUAGCGGUGAAAUGCAUAGAUAUCGUCCAGAACACCGAUAGCGAAGGCAGCUUACUAAGGAGUAACUGACGCUGAGGCA